UCUCUAACCACUAUAACCAUUUAACCACUUAGAACUUAUAUACUUGGUUUUAGGUUGGGGCGACCACGGAGCACAACCAAACCUCCACGAUGAACGGAACAACCCCCUUAUCUGAGAAUUACACUUCUAAGAAUUAGCACACUAACAUAAAAUGACCCAUUAUUGAUCAACGAACCAAGUUACCCUGGGGAUAACAGCGCAAUCCAUUUUAAGAGCCCCUAUCGACAAAUGGGUUUACGACCUCNAUGUUGGAUCAGGAUAUCCCAGUGGUGCAGCAGCUGCUAAAGGUUCGUUUGUUCAACGAUUAAAAUCCU
rnacentral:rRNA from 1 species